UAGCUGUAAAGCAUGCGGGCCAGGUGUCUGGUGUUCCUCGAGAGCACCAGGUGCCGGAGAGAAGUCGUUAAGCCCGCCGCCUGGGAAGUACGGUCGCAAGGCUGAAACUUAAGGAAAUUGGCGGGGGAGCACCACAAGGGGUGGGACCUGCGGUUC
rnacentral:rRNA from 1 species